AAUGCGUAGAAUAUAUGGAAGAACACCCAGUGGCGAAGGCGGCUGUCUGGUCUGCAACUGACGCUGAGGCUCGAAAGCAUGGGUAGCGAACAGGAUUAGAUACCCUGGUAGUCCAUGCCGUAAACGAUGAGUGCUAGGUGUUGGAGGGUUUCCGCCCUUCAGUGCCGGAGCUAACGCAUUAAGCACUCCGCCUGGGGAGUACGACCGCAAGGUUGAAACUCAAAGGAAUUGACGGGGGCCCGCACAAGCGGUGGAGCAUGUGGUUUAAUUCGAAGCUACGCGGAAGAACCUUACCAGGUNCUUGACAUNCUUGCGCUAACCUUAGAGAUAAGGCGUUACCCUUCGGGGACGCAAUGACAGGUGGUGCA
rnacentral:rRNA from 2 species